rnacentral:rRNA from 1 species
GACGUAGGGCGCGAGCGUUGUCCGGAUUUAUUGGGCGUAAAGAGCUCGUAGGCGGCUUGUCGCGUCGACUGUGAAAACCCGCGGCUUAACUGUGGGACUGCAGUCGAUACGGGCUAGCUAGAGUUCGGUAGGGGAGACUGGAAUUCCUGGUGUAGCGGUGAAAUGCGCAGAUAUCAGGAAGAACACCGGUGGCGAAGGCGGCUCUCUGGGCCUUACCUGACGCUGAGGAGCGAAAGCGUGGGUAGCGAACAGG